CCUACGGGGGGCAGCAGUGGGGAAUAUUGCUCAAUGGGCGAAAGCCUGACGCAGCGAAGCCGCGUGAGGGAUGAAGGUCUUCGGAUCGUAAAACUCUGUCAGCAGGGAAGAACGGUCACUGUGCUAAUCAGCAGUGAAUUGACGGUACCUGCAAAGGAAGCACCGGCUAACCCCGUCCCAGCCGCCGCGGUAAGACGGGGGGUGCGAGCGGUAAUCGGAAUGACUGGGCGUAAAGCGCUCGUAGGCGGUAUGUGAAGUCAAGGGUGAAAUGCCCGCGCUCAACGUGGGAACUGCCUUUGAAACUGGCAAACUGGAGUGUGUGAGAGGAUAGUGGAAUUCGAGGUGUAGGAGUGAAAUCCGUAGAGAUCUGGAGGAACAUCAGUGGCGAAGGCGACUAUCUGGCACAUAACUGACGCUGAGGAGCGAAAGCGUGGGUAGCAAACAGGAUUAGAUACCCCUGUAGUC
rnacentral:rRNA from 1 species